rnacentral:lncRNA from 1 species
UCGGGUUCGGUUUCGGUUCUUUAGAUACCAAAAUUUUGAAUCCGUUCGGAUAUUUAAUCAAUUUUGGUUCGGGUUCGGUGCUACUUUAUCGGAUCGGGUUCGGUUCGGUUCUUCGAAUUCAGGUUUUUUUGCCCAGCCCUACACACAAUCUUGGGGUUUACCUUUUAAUUUUGAUUUAGGAUGUAACUGUUGUAAGUUCUUCAACUCGGUUAUUGUGGAGGCUCGUUUUUUUUCUCAUGUAAGAAACAUAGGAACUGAAUUUAUUUAUUUUCCUUUUCAAAGCUACAAAUUAACAAAUCGAAGACAUGUGUAUUUCCCUUUAAAGAAUCUAUCUUAUUAAAACAGAAACAUUACAACUUCUUCUAGGUGGAUUUUUAAGUUGGACAUCACAUUAUUAUUCUUAGCCUAACCAUACAUUU